AGCUAGUGUGGCAUAGUGGUUUGAGCAUUGGCCUAUGACUCUGAAGACCAGGGUUUGAUUCCCAUCUCAGCUA